rnacentral:rRNA from 1 species
CUGGCUCAGAUUGAACGCUGGCGGCAUGCCUUACACAUGCAAGUCGAACGGUAACAGGUCUUCGGACGCUGACGAGUGGCGAACGGGUGAGUAAUACAUCGGAACGUGCCCAGUCGUGGGGGAUAACUACUCGAAAGAGUAGCUAAUACCGCAUACGAUCUGAGGAUGAAAGCGGGGGACCUUCGGGCCUCGCGCGAUUGGAGCGGCCGAUGGCAGAUUAGGUAGUUGGUGGGAUAAAAGCUUACCAAGCCGACGAUCUGUAGCUGGUCUGAGAGGACGACCAGCCACACUGGGACUGAGACACGGCCCAGACUCCUACGGGAGGCAGCAGUGGGGAAUUUUGGACAAUGGGCGAAAGCCUGAUCCAGCAAUGCCGCGUGCAGGAUGAAGGCCUUCGGGUUGUAAACUGCUUUUGUACGGAACGAAAAAGCUCCUUCUAAUACAGGGGGCCCAUGACGGUACCGUAAGAAUAAGCACCGGCUAACUACGUGCCAGCAGCCGCGGUAAUACGUAGGGUGCGAGCGUUAAUCGGAAUUACUGGGCGUAAAGCGUGCGCAGGCGGUUAUGUAAGACAGAUGUGAAAUCCCCGGGCUCAACCUGGGAACUGCAUUUGUGACUGCAUGGCUAGAGUACGGUAGAGGGGGAUGGAAUUCCGCGUGUAGCAGUGAAAUGCGUAGAUAUGCUGAGGAACAUCCGAUGGCGAAGGCAAUCCCCUGGACCUGUAUCUGACGCUCAUGCACGACAG